GGGCCAUAGCUCAGUGGGAGAGCAACUGCUUGGCCUGCUGAAAGUUCUAGGUUCAAUCCCUGACAUCUCCU